UUAAACCACAGAGAUUCGCGGAAGGGAUUGCCAAAGCUACCAAUUACACCGCAGCUGCAUUUUUCCACUUUGGAUUGGGACCUCGAUCUUGUGUUGGUAUGACCCUUGCAACCAUAGAAACCAAAAUUGCUCUGUCCAUGAUUCUACAACGUUACACCAUCACCAUUUCCCCUGCCUAUGUCCACUCUCCAAUACCUAUUCUCACCAUUCGACCACGACAUGGAAUUCAAAUAAUACUUGAGCCGCUGCAUAGCUGUUAAGAACUAGGGGCUUAAUAUUGUUGGUUCGUGUAUUCACUUGUAACAGAUGACAUUCAAUGUAUUUAAGGUGUUACAAACUUAAUAAAAAGAAAGAGGAAUGAAUUACUGUGUGAAACAAAUAAUAUUACUUCUUAAUUUUCAUUGGGUUAGAUAACCUAUUUAUAAUAGAAACUAGAUACACAAAUAAGGAAAGAUAUGAUAUGAAAUUGUGCUAUUAAAUUAGAUACAAAUAAGGAAAGAUAUCGUAUGAAUUACUUAUGCAAGAUAUCACAUUAACAUCCCCUCAAACUCAAGGUGGUGUUGUAGAUCUUAGUUUGAGUUUGAAAAUUAAGUCUUGAAAUCUGAUGGGAAGAUGGCUUUUUGAGAAAAUGUUUCUGAUCUGAGCCAAUAAGGAGACAGAAGCAUGGUGUAUGUGCCCUAAGUAACAUGAUGUCAUACAAAUGACAGAGAAAACCAUCAUCAUCAAAGAAAACUUCAAGGACCAAAAGAGGAGGAAUUAUAACCGAUCACAGAGGUGUUAGUCACUAAUGAAAACAUUAGUGCUUAUGAUCCCUCAUACCAAACGCCUCCAUUUCCAUUAAAAAACCCUACUUACAAAAAAGGAGAUAAAUAAUGAAGCAUGACACGGAGCUGAGCGUCAUUGAUCAGCUACUGGAAGACACCGUAAGAGAGCAGAGGCUCUCUUAUUUAAUAAAUUAUUCUCAUCAAAUUCACAUAAACAUAAAAUAUAAUUACUUUAAUAAUAAAAUAAAGGGCUUUUAUGAGUAAAAAUCAUAGAUUAAGAGCUUAUUUAACUAAAAAAAAUAGGUUGAGGGCUUGUUUAUUAAAUAAAAAAGUGAGUUGAAGAGGAAUAAAAAGAAAAUAAUAAAUAAGGAGGGCUUAGAAAGCAAUUAGUCAUAUUUCAACUUUAGUGUGCCACUCGCACAGCGGCAGCAAUUCACUUUCAAAAUUUAAAAUGUUAAAUUUGCACAUCAUGUCCUUGAAACUUUAGAUCAUUACAUUUUAGUCCUGUGCCGCCAAUGAGAAUGGCACCAUUGGUGCUGCCAAUGAGUUCCCCUCAUCAGUCUCUCCUUUUUUUUUGGUAUAUUUUGGUAAAUAAAAAAAUAUAAUAUUUUAGUAUUUUUUUAUUUUUUUAUAAUAAUUUGGUAAAAAAACCCGAGAAUCGGUUUUUGCUUUUGUUUUUGAGAUGUUGAUAUCUUUGACAGCCUUUUAUGACUUCGCACCAUCCACCUCACCUUUUGUUUCUGUUUCCCAUGCUUUCCCAUUUCUUCUACCAUAAAAACCACUAAAAGGAAUGGGCUAAAAUGUCAAAUAAACCCUUUAAAAAUAAAUUUAAAGAAAAUCAAUUAAGUCUCUAUUAGCAAAGUGCACCAAAUUGAGCUUUUUAAAUCACAAUUUGCACUCAAUUAAUCCCUAUUUUGUAAUAUUUGUUAAUUUUGACUUGGAAGACAAGGAUGAAAUUUACUGUAAGGCGGCUUAUAAUAAUAUGUCUGACUUUUACUUUCACCGUUAAUUUUGAUUAUCACUUAAAUCCAAAUUUAAAUUAAAACAAAAGCGACAGGAUGGAUUAAAUAAUGGGGAAUUUUUCCAAUUUUAGAUGUGCAUUAGUAUGGACGGUUAGAUGUUUUAAAAGCAGAAUUAAAUUGACACAAUAUAUAAAUAUGAAGGAUUAAAGUUACUAUUAUGUAAAUUUUAAAAGUUAUUAUCGUUAGUCAACCGGUAAUAAAAAAGAUAAAAUUAAAUAAUUGAGUAAUCAAAAAAGAAACUUAUUAAUAGUUAGAUAAUUACUAAUGUAAUUAUUCUAACAUUAAAAUGUAUAAAAAUAUUAAAAUAAAAAUUUGAUUGAACUGAUAAAAAAAUAUUUUAUAGAUGUUAGCAACAUGUACUCAAAUCUAUACAAUUGUAACUUUUUAUUUAUUUUUAUUAAAAUUAAAAAAUUAUAUAAAUUACAAAUAAUGUGAAAUCUUAAAAAAAAAUGUGUUUACAAAUUUUGAUUAUUAGGCUUUUUCCUGGUAACAACCUUUUUCAAGUCAAUUUGAACUAGAAUUGUCAUCAUCCGAACUUGCCACAGAUUGAAAUUUGUCUCACCCGAUUAGGCAAUAAGUAAAAAAAAUAGUAGAAUAAAUUGAGAAAUUGAGCACACAAAUUUAACGUGAAAAAACUCCUCCAAAGAGGAUAAAAUAAACUACGGGCAAAGAUAAUUUUAUUAAAAUGACAAAAGAAUGAAGAGUACAAAAGAUGGAGAUAAAAACUAAACCCCAAAAACAAAGAACCAUCAAAACAUAAACACAAAAUCUUUAAAUGUGUUAUGAGUUCUAAUCUCUAAUAGGUGUAUUUUCUAAGGUUGUAUAAUAGUCUAUUUAUAGGCUAAAUUCAUAGGUCAAAUAAUAAUAAAAUAAUCUAGACUAAUCAGAGUUUGAUUGAAAUAAAUAAACUGAGUUUAACUGAAAGAUUAUUUCUCAAAUUUGACUGAAAUAGGAGUCAUACUCAGCAGACACAAAUAAGGAAAGAUAUGGUAUGAAUUACUUAUGCAAGAUAUCACAUUAACAUCCCCCUCAAACUCAAGGUGGUGUUGUAGAUCUUAGCUUGAGUUUGAAAACUAAGUCUUGAAAUUUGAUUGGAAGAUGGCUUUUUGGGAAAAUAGUUGCGAUUUAAGCUAAUGAGGAGACAGAAGCAUGGUGUAUGUGCCCUAAGUAACAUGAUGUCAUACAAAUGACCGAGAAAACCAUCAUCAUCAAAGAAAACUUCAAGAACCAAAAGAGGAGGAAUUAUCACCGAUCACAGAGGUAUCAGUCACUAAUGAAAACAUUAGUGCUUAUGAUCCCUCAAACCGAAUGCCUCCGUUUCCACUAAAGACCUUACUUACAAAAAGGAAGAGAAACAAUGAAGCACGAGACAGAGCCGAGCAUCUUUGAUCACCUACUGGAAGACACCGUAAGAGAGUAGAGGCUCAGAGCCACCUUAGACCAAUCAAAAUCAACCACCAGCGACAUCUAUCCCAAAACAACACUCAAACAAUGACUAAAUCGUUAAAGGUCUUGGAUCUGACAGAAAAAAUAGAAAAAUAACAAAAGUAGCAUAUGGAGGCUUUAGGCACCACCACCCAUCCACCAUCUGGGAGUUGCAGUAAAAAACUCACAAAAAAUGGAACACUAGCAUCAAAACACAUCGGUCCCUCUUUAACAAAGGUUCGCUUGUGAGAGGAGAAAAAAUUAUAUAAAUAAAAGAGCCACGAAAGCUCAAACAAGGCCCCCAAAAAGUGUUUUUAAAUUAAGAGGACAUAAAAAAAUAGAGCAGAACAAAGAGACAACACCCCAAAAGAGAUUAUUAAAUCGAGAGGAUGACAUUAAAAAACAGAGCAAAACAAGGAGGAGGAGGACCAAUCACCGACAACAAGUGUUUAGCCGCUAAACCGAGAAACAAAAUAUGACCUAGAGUAUCAGGCAACCAAAGCAUGAGAAACAGGAAUUUGAGCAUACAAUGAUACAAAGAAACAUAACCUCCAAACUCUAAUCAUCAUUCAAGAACCUCAAAUCCCUCGCUCCGUUAGCUUAAAACAAGGUCCCAAUGCCACAAAAUAAACCAUUAAAACAUGGAAAUCCACAUUCUCUUGAUUUUUUACAACAUGAAAACUAAGGGUGAGUAUUCGAUCAAGUCGAGUUAAAAAAUUUUGAGUUAGUCGAGUUGAAUCCUAUUUUAGCAACUAAUAUCAAUUUGAAUUUUUUAGACUCGAAUUGAGUCAACAAAUUUCGAGCCAAGUUAACGAAUCUUAUUAUUUAUGCUAAAUGUUAUGUUUACAUGGACCUAUUAUUUAAUUAAUAGACGAAAUAUAAGAUUAUUUAACUAUAUAAACAAUAUAAUAGUUUUGCCUUUUAACUUAAUGAGUAAAUAUUUAUCAAAACGACAUAGUUUUAUCUUUUCUUAUUCAGAUAACUCGAAUAUGAAUUACACAAUUCAUAUUCGAGUUGAACCAAAAAACUUAAUUUUUUAUUUGAGUUUAUCUUAAUAAUUGAAUUACACAAUUCAUAUUCGAGUUAAACCAAAAAAUUUAAUUUUUUAUUUGAGUUUAUCUUAAUAAUUAAAUUAACUUAAAUAACUUGAAUCAUUUAAUUUAAAAUUUAAAGUUUUUACCAAAUUUUUGAAUGAAAUCGAAUUUUAUUCCCCUAAUAAAAUUCUUUAUUUCUUGUUUCAAGGACAAUAAAGUUAACUUAAACCCCCGUUGAGCGUUCUUCUGAUAUUAGCCAUAACAAAAUUCUUCUAUCCGUUGCCACUUUUCAACGUCUAAUCACUUCUUAAAAUUCUACAUCACAAAGCUUCCUUCUCAAUCAAAUCACUAAGAGCACAUCUCGAGUUCAAUUAGGUCUUCAACGAUCACCCCAUGAGUGCAGUCUGCUAUAAACCCCACUUUCAUCCCCCAGAGCCUACGUAGAUAUAGCUACCUCCCUCAAGAUUCUUAGAGCAAAACAAGGCCCCCAAAAAGGGUUUUUAAAUCAAGAAGACAUCAAAAAAUAGAGCAGAACAAAGAGAGAACACCUCAAAAGAGAUUAUUAAAUCGAGAGGAUAACAUUAAAAAAUAGAGCAAAACAAGGAGGACGACGACCAAUCACUGACAAUAAGUUUUUGGCCGUCUAAACCGAGAAACAAAAAUAUGACUUGAAGUAACAGGCAACCAAAGCAUGAGAAACAGGAAUUUGAGCAUACAAUGAUGCAAAGCAACAUAACCUCCAAACUCCAAUCAUCAUUCAAGAUCCUCAAAUCCCUCGCUCCGUUAGCUUAAAACAAGGUCCCAAUGCCACAAAAUUAACCAUUGAAACAUGGGAAUCCACAUUUUCUUGACUUUUUACAACAUGAAAACUAAGGGUGAGUAUUCGAUCGAGUCGAGUCAAAAAAUUUUGAGUUAGUCGAGUUGAUGAAUCCUAUUUAGCAACUGAUAUCAAUUUGAAUUUUUUCGAUUUGAAUUGAGUCAACAAAUUUCGAGCCAAGUUAACGAAUCCUAUUAUUUACGCUCAAUGUCAUGUUUACAUGGACCUAUUAUUUAAUUAAUAGACAAAAUAUAAGAUUAUUUAACUAUAUAAACAAUAUAAUGGUUUUGACUUUUAACUUAAUGAGUAAACAUUUAUCAAAACGACGUAGUCUUAUCUUUUUUUAUUUGAGUUAAACCGAAAAACUUAAUUUUUUAUUUGAGUUUAUCUGAAUAAUUUGAUUAACUUAAAUAACUUGAAUCAUUUAAUUUAAAAUUUAAAGUUUUUAUCAAAUUUUUUGAAGGAAAUUAAAUUUUAUUCGCCUAAUAAAAUUCUUUAUUUCUUGUUUCAAGGACAAUAAAGUUCAGUUAAACCCCCGAUGAGUGUUCUUUUAAUUAGCCAUAACAAAAUUCUUCCAUCCGCUGCCACUUUUCAACGUCUAAUCACUUCUUAAAAUACUACAUCACAAAGGCUUCCUUCUCAAUCAAAUCACUAAAAGCACAUAACUCGAGUUCAAUUAGGUCUUCAACGAUCACCCCAUGAGUGCAGUCUGCUAUAAACCCCACUUUCAUCCCCCAGCGCCUACGUAUAUAUAGCUACCUCCCUCAAGAUUCUUAGAUUCUUGUUUGCUAUAUCCUUGUUUGAAAAUCAUAAACAUUCAAAAGGCCUCUCAACAAUUCAAUCAUUCCAUACUUUUUGUAUUCUGAAACUUCAAUUUUAAUUUAAAUAAUACCAGUUAAAUCAAUUAACAAAAAUAACAUGAUUUUCUUCGUAAAUAUUAUAUAAAAAUUGUAAGUCAAUGUCACGUCACGUAUUGCGUAACAUUUAGCCAGUGUUGACUGAUUGCAUCCAUUAAAAUAUCCAUAAAUAUUAAAAUUUUGUAGGUCUAAUUUAACUUUUGUAACUUCAAUGAACAUCAGCAUUAGCCAUCAUUUUUUUAUCAGGCGGAGUCUGUGACUGCCGUGUAGGGGCAAACACUAUUAUUUAAUGAUGAAGUCUUAAUUUUUUCUAUUUUCAAAUAAUACUUGAAGUCUUCAUAAAAAUAUUUAAAAAGUUUAAGUCCAAAACCUAUUUUGAAUUACAAUCUUUAAUAAUUAUUAUAAAAUUUAAAAUAAAAAUAAAUAAAUGAUAAUUAUUUAAUUUAGGAGUAAAUAUAUAUUAAAAUUUUCUUAUUAAUAAAUAUCUACAUACAAUAAAUAUAUUAUUACGCGUAAUGUGAUAUUAACAUAUAAUAUUAAAAGAAAUUAUGUUGUUUUUAUUAAUAAAUUUAGCAGAUAUUUUUUAAAUUAAGAUUGAAACUUUAAAAUACAAAAAGUAUAAAAAUUAAAUCUGACUAUAUUAGAAAAUAAAAUGGUGGGUUUGUUGAUCUUAUUGGUUUUUAAAGUUCUCAAUUUUUGACAUUAAGACAUUAAUUAAUCAACUUGGUACCAAUUUUGGGCGUUACGAGGGUGCUAAUCCUUCCUCGAACGUAACCGACUCCCAAACCCGUUUUUCUAAAUUUCGCGGACCAAACUCGUUGUUUUAAUAAAAUUAAAUUGUUUAUUAAAAAUAACCACUUUUCAAUGUGAUCCGAUCACACUUUAUCAAAAAGGAUUAGUGGCGACUCCCACUUUCAUUUUCAUUUUUCAAAACCCAAGUCGACCCCGUUUUCAUAAAAAAAUUGGUGUCAACAGCUUGGCGACUCUGCUGGGGACCCAAAAUAAAUGAGUCAAGCCAUGAGUUGAUUACUUUUUGUCUUUUCGUUGAAAUUUGAAAACUUGAUUUAAAUAUACGAUCCUUUUAUUGCAUUUCAUUCGUCUUUAUUACAAUUUGCAUUGUUGUGGUUUAUAAUUCCUGUGUUGAUUUAAAUUUCGGUAUCCUUCUGCAUUGCAUUGCAUGACCUUUGGUCACACCCUUUUAAGUGGGAGUGAGAAGCUACUCCUUCGUGAGGUUUUCACCUCCGUGCAGGAUAGUGGAUCGCUUUCGGGAUACAUUUGUACCUAUGUCUUCGUGAGAUUUUCAUCUCCGUACAGCCAUAGGGAAAUGUAUUCCUCUGAACCGAACUCGGUCUAUAUGAGCCUAUGAUGGGUGAAGAUCGAGGAAUCUACUGGUUCGGGUACCCUUACUUUAGAACCAAACCACAUGUAGAGGACCUUAGGAGCCCACCCUAGGUAGAGCCACUUCAAACCCCUGGUAGUUACCCGAAUAGGUGUUCUAUUUAUUCUUGCUUGCUUUUACUUUGUACUAACCUGUUUUCUUUUUGUUAUGAUUGCAUUGCACUUUUAUCAUAAAAAGAGGUGUUGAUUCACGUUCAGUUGUUAAAUAGAGAGCUUGUCAUAAGAGAAUGGGUUUCUUGAUAAAGUGGAUGAUAAUACGGUUGUCUGAAUAUGGCCUAAGAAAACGUGAUAGUUUACUGGAGGACUACACGACUAUUGCUUCAUUACCCGAGGAUUCAAGAUGACAAAGAUUAUUCGAGAGCCGCUGAACUUUCUUAAAGAGGAACCGACAAGCAUCACGAGAAUGAGUGAGUAACGAGUCACGGCCCGGAUCAAGCAAAAAGGAGAUAGAAGAGACGUCCUUUUUGAAGAGUUCGUGAGAUUUACCUUAACGCUCGAAUAAAGAAGAGGAUCGAAUGUCUCCGCCUAUGAGGGCAAAGCCGUAUAUAUAUCCGCUUUAUGCAAAGAGAUUUAUUUUCUAGUAAAGUUGUUAUAAUAGAAUUGAACCAAGAAUCAACGUCUCUUUUUUGCAUUCAUUUCAUGUAUUUGUAUUACAUGACAUCAUAUGCAUUAACGACUAUUAAAAUACCCUAAUUGAAUAAAAUUAUUUUAGUUAACCUGGAAAACCAACACCUUUACGGUACUCGGGCAAAAUCGAAGAACAUGGAUCAAAGAAUGGAAAGGCUCGAACAGCUCCAAAAAGAGAUGCAAGACCAAAUGCAAGAGCGGCUAGAAAAAAUUCAGCAAGAUAUGGCAGAAAAGAUGCAGGAGUCCCAGAAUGACCUGAUGGCUCGGUUAACGCAGCUGUUAGCCGGGGGAAAAGAUAAGGGAAAGGAACCUAUGGUUAAUACUGAAGAAGGAAAUAAUGAAGGACUCCUCUACCCUCCAGGUUUUACCCCUCCACACGUUCAAAAUCCCCCGUUACAAUCAGACCUCAACAAUUUCAGACGGGUACCUCAAUGCCUAUGAACUUCCAAAUCAGAGUAGGCUCUAAUCCCGGAGAAAACCCUACCAAUCCCAUUGUCCCAGAUUUCGACGAAGUGGCUGAGAAAGAGAAAACAAAAGAAGAAUUGCCAAAGCAGCUAGAGGAAAGAUGCAAAUGGCUCGAAUAAAAAUUUAGAGCAAUGGAAAAUAUUAAGAAUUAUCAGGGAAUUAACGCUAAAGACCUAAGCUUGGUCCCAGAUCUGGUACUACCCCAUAAGUUCAAAAUUCCAGAAUUCGAGAAAUACAAUGGGACCAGUUGCCCGGAAGCACAUAUUACCAUGUUUUGUAGACGUAUGACUGGAUACGUCGACAACGACCAGCUGCUUAUACAUUGCUUCCAAGAUAGCCUCACAGGGGCAGCGUCUAAGUGUUACAAUCAAUUAAGUCAUACCAAGAUCAGUUCGUGGAGGGACUUAGCACAAGCAUUUAUAAAACAAUACAGCCAUGUAGCCGAUAUGGUCCCUGAUAGAAUUACCCUGCAGAAUAUAGAGAAAAACCCUAACGAAAGUUUCAAACAAUAUGCACAAAGAUGGAGAAAGGUUGCCGUGUAGGUUUAGCCACCACUCCUAGAAAAGGAGAUGGCUAUACUCUUCAUUAACACGUUAAAGGCACCAUUCAUCACACAUAUGUUGGGAAGUGCCACGAAAAGCUUCUCUGACAUAGUUAUGAAUGGAGAGAUGAUCGAAAGUGCCAUAAAGAGCGGUCGACCUGAAAGAAAAAAGAGAAUGAGGUGAACAACACGAGUACAUAUAACAAAGGUUAUUCAAAAUCAAUUACGGUGAAUCAGCUAAGAAAAAUGGUCGCUAACCAACAAGGUUCAUCAAGACAAGAAUCCGGGACAAGACAAGACACUGAGAAGCUUCAGUUCAUGCCAAUUCUGAUGUCGUAUAAGGAGCUGUAUCAAAGCUUAUUCGAUGAGCAUGUUGUUGCCCCUUUCUACUCAAAACCCCCACAACCUCUGUACCCCAAAUAGUACGACACGAAUGCACAAUGUGAUUAUCAUGCGGGAAUCACGGGGCAUUCCAUAGAAAAUUGCAUUGCCUUUAAAAAAAUGGUUGAAAGGCUUAUCAGUAUGGGCAUUGUCAAAUUUGAUGAUUCCUCCAGUCCGCUACCCGAUCACAUUGAUAAUGAGGUGAAUGCGAUGUAGGAAGAAGUGUUAGGAAGCUUUCACAUCAAUGCCAUACAUGAAGACAACUGAAAAGGGGCCUUGUUAGAUAUCCACCCUCAUAAACUUGAGAGUGUUCUAAAUAGUUGGACUGCAGAAGAAAUCCCUGUAGUAUUUAGAGCCUACUUAGAGCAAUUUUCAGAACAAACUUGUUGCUUUUAGCCUAGAGGCAAUAAGAACUCUUUUGUGAAAUAGGCUCAUGUCUGAACAUCGUUAUUUUAAUGAAAUGCAUCCUUGCGAUCAUUUUUGAGCCAAUAUUCUUUCAUUCUUUACGAAUAAUUAUUGUUGAUUCUUUCAUUCUUUUAGAUUUUCUUCCAAAUCAUUAUUGCAUUCAUUCAUGAUCAUAUUGUACAUAAUUUUAUUCAUUCUUUGUAUAUUCUUUUGUGCCUACAAUAGGUCCCUGAAUAUCAACGACAUGAGUAACGCUGCUACAGACUCAGGAUCUCCUUCUUAGCGAGGCAUGUGUUUAGAGGGAUCUUGUGACUUUGAAGAUGACAUAGAUUGUAGCCUAUCUCUAGACUUAUUGAGGAUGGUAGAACGAGAUGGAAAACAGAUCCUACCCUACAAAGAAUAAAUGGAAUCCAUGACCUCUCCCUAUAUGGGGCAUGGAUGUCAUUGGACUAAUCUUGCCAAAAGCUUCCGGCGGUCAAUAAUUCAUCUUUGCAGCUGUCGAUUACUUCACUAAAUGGGUGGAAGCUGCUUCAUAUGCUAAUGUCACAAAGUCAACAGUCAGCAAAUUCUCGAAAAAUCACAUAGAAUUUCAAAAAGGAUCAUAUCUGACAAUGCACUAAAUUUGAACAAGAGCACGAUAUCAGAAGUUGGCAAUCUGUUCAAGAUUAACAUCAUGUCGCCCCAAAGUGAACAGUGUAUUGGAGACAAAAAAACUCUACCGGGGCAAUGUCUUGCUUUUGGGCCUAUCGCGGUUUUGCCUAUUGAAGAUAAAAUUCUUUCUUUCUGAGUUUUUGAAUUUAAUCUUGAUUGAAAAGGAAUGUUCAAAGUUAUCCAUCAUGGUCAAAUGCGUCGAAAGUAAAUAAUGCGAGCUCACAAAAAAAAAAGUUCGCCCUAGAGAAUUCCAUGAGAGGGACCUGGUAUUGAAGAAAAUCCUCCCCAUACAAAAAAAACUUCGUGCCAAGCGGGGAAGAACCUUAUGUGGAAGGCCUUACCUAGAAAAGCGCCAAUCUUGAUCGGAAGGGAUAACAAGGAUAUGCCUAAUCCUAUGAGUUCAGAUUCAAUAAAAAUAUAUAAAAAAGAGAGAGAAAAAGAAAAUAGAAAGAAAAAGAAGAAAAGAAAGAAAAAGAAAAAGGAGAGGCUAAGGUGAAAACCCGCAAAGGGCACCUUGAGACCAAAGAGGAUUUAAGUUGAGACCAAAGGGGAUUUAAGAUGAAAACCCGCAAAGGGCGCCUUCGCCUUGAGGCCAAGGUGAAAACACGGAAUUCAAGUAAUACUAGAGUCAUUGUAUAAUGAUGCGUAAUGUAACAUAGCUGCUAAGAAUUCCAAGUUUAAUUUAGUGAAAAAAUUAUUUUAUAAAAUUUAUACGUCAACAAGUAAUUAUAUAAUGUGGUUAACAUAAGCUCCUUUCAAUUGGGAACCAACAAAGCUACCAAGUCACCAAAAUUUUGCUUAACAAAGUCUAACGAUUUAGCUUUUACUUUACUAAUAACAACACCCAACUUAUAAUCACCACUUAUAACCACCAUUAAAGUAUAUGUAGAUAACAGAAGUAUUAUUUAAUAAUAAUUUGUUAAUAUUAUUUAAUUAUAUUUGACGUUGUUACAAUGUGUCGAGGGAACUGCCACUUCCUUCACCACUACGACAAAAUAGCUUGUCAUAUUUGAAAAAUUAACAAUUUAUUGAAUCAAAUCUUUGGACUAUGUUAAUUUUGUGGAAUGAUUUUAGCCUAUCAAUGAGAAUCAAUUCACUAAACAUAUUUUGAGAAUUGUAUCGGAUUGAGUACAUCAAAUCCAUUGGAUCAAAGAUGUUUGAUCGAAUCAAAAUUGGAAGACUUAUCUACCAACAAUCCAUUUUACUUUAGUUGUUAAUAUUAUAUUGAAUUCAACUAUUUUAGACAUACAAGAUUUUACUAAUUCAUCUUCAUUUGUCGAAAGAAGUCUAUCCUCAAAUUUCAACAAAUUUCCACCACUAGCCAUUUUCACAGUAUCUGAAUUUUAUCUCCACACUUUUUUUUAACAUUAAUCUUAUUAUACUUAAAACUAUCCAUAGUCCCUCCUCAACCCUUAGAUAGAAGGAUAAUACACUUCAGUGCACUCGAACCCACGCCCUGCUGCACUAACAACAAUACCGAUGCUAAUCGAGUUAAGACGCUCACCACUAAAAUAUCACCAUAAGCAUAAAUCUAUAAUCAAAUUUAUAAUUAAAAUACAAGUUUUUUACAAAUACUUUAUAAAAAAAACCAUACUACAAAAUUAAAACAAAGAAAAAGAACACAUAAAAAUAAGAAUAUAAUAAUAUUUAAACAACUAGUAAAAAAAAUAUAUUUUUCAAACACUUAAAAAUAAUAUAUAUCAAUAUAACUAACAAUAAUAUAAAUAAUAAUAAACUAACACUAAAAAUAUUUUUUUACUUUAAAAAAAUCUAAUGUCUUAAAAAAACCCUAAAAAACAUAAAAGUAUAAAAAAGUAUAAAAUGCACAAAUCAUAAAAAUAUCUAACACUUAAGGUAGAUUUUGAUACAUCUAUAUAUAUGUUGUAAUUGAGAAAAUAGAAAACGAGAGAAGAAAAUGUUGGGAGAAUGAGCAGUUUGUGCAUUUAUAUAUACAAAAAUUUAAAGGAUUAAAUUGCAUAAGAAUUAAAACUAUUAUUCAACAAUAAUAAUAUACCCAAUUGCUUACUUACCACAAUUAGUUGGCCUGCAUGAUUAUUGUUUCAAGACCAUGCAUGCUUGUUGCCACCUUGCUUUUAUAUUUCUGCCAUGCAUGCUUGCUGCCAUUAUUUUUCUGCAUGCCAUGGUUGUUGUCACCCUUGCUGCCUCUUAUUUUUCUACCUUGCAUACCAUUAGAAUCCAAAUGAAGUGCGUUUUAAAAAUCUCUUACAUUUAAUCUUUACAGGCACCUGUCGAAAUCAAUCUUUAAUCCCAAUUUCAUUUACUCUUUCAAGACUGUCCCUUUAGAGAUUUUAUGAAGAGAAGGAAAAACAAUGGAAUUGUAAAGAUGGCACCCAUAGAAACCUUAGAAUGGUGGACGGUGCAACAGGCAUCGAGCGGGUCUCCCUUGUCAAUGAUGAAAUCACCUAUAUACUCUUUCAAGAUUUUAGGGCUCUUAGUUUCGUCCCCAGAAGAAAAAGAAAGAAAAGUAAACAGAUUGGUUUUAAGGUAUUGGGAAAGUCGAAUUAGUUAAUUAAUUAAUUAGAAUUUAAAUAUAUGUUUGUUUUCUUUAAUUUAACUUUUUUUAUUUUUAAAUUUUAAUACAUUUUUUAUUUUUAAAAUUUUAAUAUUUUUAAAAAUUUUAUAUUUUUUAUAUAUUUUUUAAAUAAUAUUAUGACCUCUUUAUAAAAUCACCAUUUUCACAUGUCACGAUCUAAGAUUGUCACGUGUCUCGAAUAUCAAAAACAUUUACAAAAUAAAAAUUUAAGAACUAAAUUGAGAAAAAAAAUAUAAAUAUUAAUUUAGGAGAAAGUGAGAAAUACGAAGGCCAAAUAAGCCUAAUUAAUAUGAUUCCAUACAUCUUGAGGUUAAAAUAUAAUUCAAGGUUUAAUUAAUUUUUUAUAAAAAUUAUGUUAGGUCUAGUUAAAAUUAAAUAAAAUAAAAGGUUUAAUGAGAAAUUCUAAAUUUGGGGCCUGAUUUAAUUUUUUUUAAAUUAAUGGUGUAAAAUGAAUUUCAAAAUUUUGCUAAGGUCAGGUCCCGCUUCGCAUUGGGUUGAUUAUUUAUUUUUUAAAACUAUAAAGAAAAAUUUAAAUGUUAAAAUAUGAUCUAAGACAUACACUUCGUAUAUUUGAAUUUUAGUCUUCAUAAUCUUAUUUUUAGAAAUUUAAUCAACUUCUUUUCGGAUUUAAAAAUUCAGGAUCUAUUAUUACCACUGUUAAUAUUCUUCUAUUAAAUUCAUUGGUGUGACGUUUUGGAACUUAGUUUCCAUACUCUUAUUUUAAAUAAUUUAAUUAUCUACUUUUCAGAUUUAAAAAUUCAGGACCCAUUAUUAUCACCGUUAAAAUUCUUCUAUUAAAUUCAUUGGUGUGACGUUUUGGAAUUUAAAAUAUAUAUAUUCACUUGGUCAUCAUGUAAUAAUAAAAAUAAAAUUGAAAAUACUAAUUAGAAUUUUUUUUUUCUUAAAAACACUCAUUCAAACUUGUCAUGAUGAAAUAAUUUUUUGGUGGAAAUAGCCUUCUUAAGAAACAUUGACAUCAACAUUUUGAUUGAAAUAGAUCAUAAUAUUAAUGAUUUAGACUCAAUAUUAACAUUAUAAAAAUAGAUGGGUCAAAUUAUGUUAAAAUUUAAAAUAUAUAUUAUUUUUUAAGUUUCAACAUAGUAUAGGGGUCAAACUGAAAAUUGACUAUAAUAUUAAAAAAAAAAAACCCCAAGGCAAACUUAAAAAGAAAGGUAAAACCAUGCUCAGUCUCUAAAACUGUUAGAGUAUUAUUUCAAUUAUACGUAACCAUUUAACAUUUUAAUAAAAAAUUAACUAUAUUAACUAUUCGAACUAAUUCAUAACGUUAUAAAAAUAUAAACAGAAAAUCAAAUUAGAAAUUAAAGUAUAUAGAUUAAAUUUCAAAUUUAAAAAUAAUAGAACCACAAAUGAAAUUUAAUCAUUUUAUAAUAAAAAAGGGUGAUGAUGUUCGCCUGUGUUAACAAAAAAGUCCACAUAUAUAUAUACAAUCAACCCUCUCUAUAAUAACCGCCCUUAAUAACAACUAAAUUUUAUAGUAGAAUCAAUUUUUUAUGUUUUAUUUUAACAUUCUAUAACAAUUUUUCACGUGUAACAACAAUAACCAUAGUUUUAAAGUACAUUAUUUAUUAAAUUUUUAAGUAAAAUUAGAGCUAUUUCAUAUAAACGAGCCUAUUAACUAUAAUUUAUUAAAUAAAAAUUAUCUUAACUAAAAUAUUUAAAUUCCACAUGAAAAGCCUAUUAAUCAUAUUUUAUUAAAUGAAAAUAAUUUUCAAUAAAUGAAAUGAAAUAUAUCUAUUGAAUAAACUAUCAAAUUUUCUCGUUCUUUUCUUACAAUAAUUUCUAUUUUUUUCAUUAUAUGAAUUAUUGCUGCCUCUCUAUAAAAAAUAAAAUUUUGACAGAUAAAUAAAGUUAUUAUAGAAAAAAGUAAUAACGGAACCAAAUACCUUAUCGAUUAAUUUUAAAAUGAUACGCACCAGAAAAUAAUAUCCAAAGAACCUACAAAUUGGCAGGCAAAUUAAUAAAUAAAAUAAUUCUAAAUAUCUCUUUUACCAUGCAAUAAUUGUCAACCUAAAUUCACCAUAAAUACAAAUGCUAAAGGAGCAUUUCCAUUCAUUGUUGAGAGACGAAAAAUGAGUGCCUUGCUGAAGCUUGCAAUUCUUGUCCCAUGUUGUUCCUUCAUCGUAGCUUUAAUAAGGUUCCUUUAUGAUUACUUGUGGAGGCCUCUCCGUCUACAGCAUAAGAUGAGUUCACAGGGAAUCAGAGGACCUCCCUACAGCUUCAUCCAUGGAAACAACAAAGAAGCUACUAAAAUGACAAAGGAAGCAUUAAGCAAACCUAUGGCCUUGAGGCAUGAUAUAUUUCCCAGAGUGCAGCCACAUAUUUACGCAUGUGUCAAUAAAUAUGGUAAGAUUCCAUGCAUGUUGUUCUCACUAUGGUUUCGAUCUUCUAGUUCUAAGAAAAGAUUGACCCUUUUUUUUUUUUUUUGAUUAGGGAGGAAUUAUCUUUCUUGGGACGGUAAUCGACCGGAACUAGUGAUUACAGAACCUGAACUUGCCAACGAGGUUCUCAAACAUAGUGUGACAACUUUUCCGAAAAGGAAGCCUACUGUUUUUGUCAGUAGGAUAUUUGGGAAUGGUCUUGUGACAGCUUUGGGAGAAAAAUGGGUGAAGCAACGGAAGUUGGCGAAUUAUGCUUUUCAUGGGGAAAGCUUACAGGUAAAAACGCUCUAAACAUGUGAAUUAGUUGUCUAAAUCUUUCUUAUAUGUUGGAAGAUUGAUUGUGCAGAACAUGACACCAGCUGUAAUUGCUAGUGUUGAAACAAUGCUAGAAAAGUGGAAAGGCUAUGCAGGCAAAGAGAUGGAAGUGUAUCAUGAAUUUAGAUUAUUGACUUCGGAAGUAAUAUCCAGAACAGCUUUCGGUAGCAGUUACUUGGAAGGGGAGAAGAUUUUUGACAUGUUGAACAAGUUGUCAAUAAUUAGGAGCCGAAAUCUUUUCGAAACUCGAAUUCCUCUGAUCAAGUAUGUUCCCUCUAAAAGCUUAAUUGAUCCCUCGGUUUUGUCAUAUUACUGACCUUGGUUUACUUUUACAGCAAGUUAUGGAAAUCUGGUGAUGUGCUAGAGUCUGAAGAACUUUCAAAAGAAAUACAAGAUUGUGUGAUGAAGAUUGUUAAGAAAAGAGAAGACGAAGUUGUGAAUGGAGAAGCCAAUAGCUUCGGCAAUGAUUUUCUAGGAUUACUUGUAAAUGCCUAUCAUGAUUCGGAUGAAAAUAACAGACUUUUAAUGGAAGACUUGGUGGAUGAGUGCAAAACAUUCUACUUUGCUGGACAAGAUACUGUUAAUUCCUUACUUGCAUGGAUAGUCUUCCUUUUAGCAAUUCAUGGAGAUUGGCAAGAGAAAGCAAGAAGAGAAGUGAUUGAGAUAUUCAGUAACCGAAUUCCGGAUUCUGAAGGCAUGUCUAAACUCAAAACUGUAAGUAAACUGUGAAACUCUUUCAAUACAAUAUCGUGUUGCAGUUAUUUAUCUUCUUUAAUGUAACCUGACAUAAUCAUAUUCUUCAAAUAGAUGACUAUGAUUAUUUACGAAACUUUAAGAUUGUAUGGUCCACCAAAUGGCCUACCAAGAAGGGUUACAAAAGAAGUGCAGUUGGGAAAGCUAGUCUUGCCUGCUAGCAUAGAUAUUUUGGUUCAAAAUAUUGCACCUCACCAUGACCCUCACAUGUGGGGAGAUGAUGUACAUCUUUUUAAACCAGAGAGAUUUGCAGAAGGGAUUGCCAAAGCUACCAAUUACAAUGCAGGUGCAUUUUGUCCCUUUGGAUUAGGACCUCGAAAUUGUGUUGGUAUGAACUUUGCAACCAUGGAAACGAAGAUUGUACUCUCCAUGAUUCUACAACGCUACACCAUUUCCCUCUCCCCUACCUAUGUCCACUCACCAAUACCUUAUAUCACCGUUCAACCACAACACGGAAUUCAAGUAAUACUUGAGUCACUGGGUAAUGAUGCUUAAUAUGCAAAGCUGCAAUCCAAUAAAUUCAUCUUUCACCUUCAACUUGUUUUGAGUUUUGAUGUUUGCGCAAAUGAUCCCGAUGAGUUUAGAGAAUGUUGGGUUGGGAUGGCUUGGGUUAGAAUGUUUUCUACUUAUUGGGUUUGUUUUUUUACUGUAUUUUGUUAUAGUUUGAGUUGAAAUUUCUCUAAAAUAAGAUUAUCUACUAAAAUAAUAUGAAAUCUACAUGAAUGUGAGUGUCAUUCUUGUCCUAAAUAACUAUAUCCAAAAUAUUUUAGAAAUAAUUUGAAACUCAAAUUAACACUUUGAUAGAAAAGUUAACCAUAUUAACUAUUUGAAUCAAUUAACAACAACAAAAUUAGAUUAUGUAACUCUACGAAAACAAUUAUAUAAUAUAUUUAUUUAAAAUAGAUGCCAUAAAAAUUAAUUUUUACUUUGGUUGAAAUGGUAAAAUUGGAAGUGUACAUAUUUUAUGUUGUCUUAGGUUUAAAUCCUAUUAUAAGUAUGUAUUUUUUCCUGGAUUUUAUAUAAAAAGAUAAAAAUACCUUCAAAUUGAUAUUUAUUGCUUUGUUAAAAUAAGAGCAUUUUGAUAAUUUAAUUUCUGAGUUAGUGAAUAUAGAUACUAACAAUAUGGGUGAAAACUUUUGUGUAAUAAUAUUAGAUCAUUGAUUGUCUAAGUUUGAACUGAUAGUAGCACUGUAAGAACAUUUACAUUACAAGAAAGACAAUUUAUUUCAGUAGAUAAUCUAAACGAGUUUGUAAUCCCGUAAAAGAAUCAAAGUUAGAAUUUGAUUCAAAUACUUAGAAGAAAUUAUGACGCGUCUACAAUUUCAAUUGGUGAGAUGACUAGUCUUGGCUAUUGGAGCAACUAACUCCACGAGUAGAUCACAUAUAUGUACUAAUUAGAAGAAAGAUACAUUGGACUGGACCCAAGUUGAGAUACAUCUGAAUUCGUUUGUGAAUUAAUUCACUUGUUACGUUCAUGGUAUGACUUACCUAAAUCCUGAGACUAGCCAUGCGUAUGUAACUCAUGUGCUUUAAUAUAAAUGGAGGCUUAUACUCUAAAGAUGAUCGAGCCGAUAGUCAGUAUGUUGGGUACAUGACUUGUAUAUGGCAUGACUUUACUAACAACAACGGAAUUCAUAGCUUAAUUUAAAAGUUAACGAUAUCCUCUCAUUAGUAUUGUGUGGAUUGAUAAAUAUGGAACGUGGUAAUGGGUUGCGUGUUCUCUAACGAGUAAUUUAUCAUAGUCAUUAGUUGACAAUGAUUAUAUUAAUUAAGAAGACACAAUGGUGACAAUGAGAUAAAAUAGGACUGUAUUGAGUGAACAAAUUUAACUUAAAGGAAUCAAAGAUAUCAUAUGAGAGUAACACACAUGGUGAUAGGUCAUUAGACAAAGUAGUUUGAUGAACUACUUUAGUAAAUAGUAUACAAUAAGGAGUGUUCAAUAAUGGUACUUAUUGUGGAUUAACUCAAUGAUUAAGUAAAUUGUGACUUAUUAAAAUGAUGCUUCUAAACAUAUUUGCAAUUACUCGAACCUAAUUGUAUAUGUCCGAUUGGUCCAUCCGCUAGCUCAACAAAAAUUCGAUCAGACUGCAUUUGAAUCAGAAGAAAAUUCCACAACUUUGGAAAUAAUUUAAUUGAGUCGCUUUAUUCGAUAAGGAAUUAAAUUUGAUGGUUGUGUGAAUUGUUCAAUUAGAGAAGUUGAUUAAAUAAUUUUCUUGAAAAAAUAAUUUGGAAAAUCUUAUUGAUUUUUGAGAAAAUAACUUUUGAUCAAGUAAAAUUAAAUUAAUCAAAUUAAUUAAAAUAAAUAUAAUGUUUUUAAAAAUUAAUUUUUAAGUCAAACAAUUGGUCAAAUGGAUAAUUGAACUUAAAAAUUGGACCGAAGAACCAAAACCAGAGACUGAAACCCAAAAAAUGGUUGAAUUGGACCCAGUGUAUGAAACUGGAUCAACAAUCCAACCGGUGGCUAGACCGAAUUGGUCGAACCGUCACUGGCCCGAAUCAAACCGGUAGCAGCCGAACUGACCAGGCCCAUUCGGGCAAAACGGUGAUGGUUCGAGGUGCUGAAGGGAAGUGGCAUCGAUAAAGGCACCAUUGAGCACAGGGGCAAUCCAGCAACCGGCGACUGGCAGAUGGUAAGCGGUGGUGGUUCUUUGGUGGUAGAGCAGUGGAAAAAUUAGACUCCUAGUGGGACUCUACUAAGCAACUUGAUUUCAAAUUAAUUUUUCCAAAGAUAAUAUUGUUUUAAUGAAUUUAAUAUUAAAUUAAAUUUAAUAUUUACCUAGAUAUUAAUAUUAUAUUUAAUUUAGUAUUUAUCUAGAUAAUAUUUUAUUAACCUAAUAUUAAUGUGAUUAAUUCUAGUCCUAGUUGAACUCUUUCUAAACUCUCCAUAUAUAAAGAGAGUUUGGGUCAUUAUUCUCACACACUUGAAUUCAAAAAAAGUAGAGCGAAAAUUAUUUGAAAAAAAAAUAUUUUAGAAAAUUUCUAGAGAUAUUCUUGUUAUUUACAACUUGACUCUAAAAAUUUAGAGAAAUUACAAAAUUGUCCCACUAGUAAUUUUGUGAAAAUUUUUCUAAUUCGAAUUGAGCCCACACUCGAUAGACGUGAGCUUGAGGAUAGCAGAGAAAACUACUCGGUCAAAGUGUUCAUUUUAGACUAAUCAUAACUGUACGAUUUUGAUUAAGUGUUUAUUAUUUUAGAUAACACAAUCAAGUUCUUGUUUUUGGAAAAAAAUUAAAACUCUAAUUUUCCCUUAAACCUAUUCUUUGUUGCAUUUUUGGGACCUGAUUUUCCAACAUUUUUGUGUUGAUUUAAGCCCAUCAACAUUUGAUCUUCAGUCACCUCGAAGAUUUGAAAUGUUGAACAGAUCUUCCCUCUAUCUUGAUGCUUUGAAGUGUUAGGAGAAUCUUGCCACCAUCUUGAAGCUUUGAAGUGUUGAGCGAAUCUUCCCACCAUCUUGAUGCUACUAAGGGUUGACUAGACUUCCCACCUUAUUGAUGCUACAAAGAGUUGAGCAAAUUUCUUCAUCAUCUAGAUGCAUUAAAUUUGGGGUGAAUCUUCCUUGGUUGCCAAAAGUGAUGAGUGAGUUAUCUUUCACCAUCCUUAAAAUCUAGAUGGAUCAUCUUUAGUGUGCAUAGGUCAUCUUUCACCUUCUUACUGCAUCUAAUUCCGGGGUGGACUUUCUUUAUAACAUGUUGUACCUCUUAUCAUGCUGAAGUUGCAAAGUUCAAGAUUGUUCUCAUAGGUGUCACAAGUUCUAUCUAUGGCCAUGUUGAUGUUACACAGUUUGGAAUGUGCCCUCCUCUUGUUGGAUAAAAUCCAGUUUAAAAAUGGUUUUCUGUCACAAUGAAAAAUUAAAUUUUUUAAAAAUUGAGUCGGUUUGUGAUAUUUAUAGCAAUAGACUUUUCCCGAAAAGUACUUGUGCUUUGUGCGAGACGGAUCCUAGACAUUCUUAGCUUUCAACCGAACAACCUUCUCUGUUAUUCUAGUACCACAAAUCGCUUCAGGUGUGGGGCUGAAACAAUCACGAAUCAAACAUAAAACCAGAAACAAUUUUCUUUACUUUCAGUAGGAAAGUAAAUAUCUCUUUUAAUAGAAUCUGGUUGAAUUUUUAUUCCUAAAAAGUAUAAUUUAUACUUAGAAAUAAAUUCUCACUAUUUUCGGACAGAAUAACAAUAUUGAAAACUUAUGUUAUUUUAGUCCUACCAGUGCCAUCUAUUUAUAGGGAUAUAUAAAAGAAUCUUGGUUGAAUUUGUAGAAUACAAAUAAUAUUUAUUUGAGAGAAAAACUAGUCCAUUAGUUCUACUAGGAGAGAGGGGUGGCACACCUUAAUAUUUAAUUUGGGUGUGCCACCCCAUCAUACAUAUUAUGAGGGAUUUUGGGUCUCUCCUAUAUUGAGUCAAAUUAUAUGUGUUUUUUAAACUUUUAACCCAAUACUUUAUAAUUUAAUUCAACUCAAUACAUGUUUUUCUAUUUUCAAAAUAAAUAUUUUUUAUUAAAUAAAUUUAAAUAAUUUUCUCAACUCAAUUCUAGUUCUGUUAAAGUCAUGUCAACUUUACCAUAAAAUAAUCUAUAAGAAAUAUAUUUAAUUUUCAUAUUCAAUGGAUUCACAAUGAUCAAUUAAUUUAAAUCCAUUUUCAAACUUCAAUUAUUUGAAAAUAAUAAUUUAAAAACUUGAAUUAAUUCUCUGGUAAUUUCCAUGCUAAGUGAGAAAUCACAUUCAUUUUCGAGUGUAACACAUUCCUCUAACUUUAUCAUUUCUAUCCAUUUCUGUUCAUUUGAUUCUAAAUGCAAUUCAUUUCUGGUUUCAACGAGCUAGCAGAGGGACCAAUUGAGCAUAUAUCAUUAAGGCUUCAAAUCAUUUAUAAAGUUCCAGCUUUUCGCCUAUUAAUUAUGAACUUAUUUAGUCACGAAGUAAUUUCACUAUAGUAUUGUGACUGAGCUCUCCUUAAUUACAUACCACUACUAAAGCUACUUGAUCAAUACUCAUCCAAUGAUCUUAUCAUACGUGUGUAACCCUCAUAAGAUAUCCUUAAUCUCUUUAGGAUAAACUCGUUCUACGAAUGUAAUCCUAUUUUAUCUCAUUGUAAUCAUUACAUUUUCCUUCAUGAAAAUUUAAUUACUAUCAAAUAGUAAUUAAGUAAUUCAUCAUAAAGACAAACGACCCGUGACCACGUUUACUUUUCAUCUAUCAUGUAAUGCCAAUGAGAGGAUAUCAUUUACCUAUUUAUUGGGUUUUAAAUUUCACUGUUGUGAAUUAUGCUACAUACUAUAUAAGUCGUAUAUCCAACACAUUAGCUUUCGAUUCCUUAUCUAUUUAAAUUCAAGCUUUUACUUACAUCAAAAUAUAUGAGUCACGCAUACAUAGUUCAUCAUCCACUCGGGAUUAAGGUAUGCCACACUAUAAAUGUCACAAGUGAAUAAAUACAUAAACAAAUUCAAGAUCUAUUCUACUUAGGUUUUGUCUAAUGUACUGUCAAUCCAGUUAGUUACAUUUAUGUCUCUAUCUUCUAGGAGUCAUUCUCUCCAAUGCUCAAGAAAAAGCAUCUCCUCAAUUGGACUUGAUAGAUGACAUAUUAAUCUUUCAAUUGGUUUGCUCAUUUCUAAUCAAACAAAUGACAUGUUUAGAUUCAUCUACUAAUACAAGUUGUUUUUCCGUAUUACGAUCCAACCACGUAAAACAACUUAGUAUUAGUUAAACGUUAGGUCACCAAUGAGUCCAAUGGUGGAGCCAGGGGGCUAAAAGGGCCUUGGCCCCCCUAAAAUGGAAAAAAUUUCAUUUAGGCCCUUUAUAAUUUAUCAAAUUUUAAAUUAGUAAUGGUACAAUUGUACUUUGGCCCCCUAAAAAUAAUAAAAAUUUGAUUUAAUCCUUUAAAAAUUAUAAAGAUAUAAACUAUUAAAAUGGUGAAAUUGUAUUUUUACUAUUGUAAAAGUAUACAAUUUAAUUCCGGCCCCCCAAAAAAAUUUUCUCACCACUGAAUGAGUCAAUAUUUGCUUUCAUUUUACUUUGCAUGCAAAAACCAUUGAGGAUAAUAUACAAAAGGUAUUAAUAUAUUUUAUGGAUAAUUUUAUUAAACUAAUUUGUUUGAAAAAAUACAAAUAUACAAACGAAUAUAAUACAAUUAGGGCUCUAGAUCCAACACUUAUUACCAUGUAGAAGUUGCAAAAGUUACUCCCGAUAUUGAUGUUACAAAAUUUGGAUUGAGUCCUCUUUCCAUGUUAAUAUUGCAAAGUUUGGAAUGGAUCCUCCCUCACCAUGUUGAAGUCUCUGGCCAUGUUAAGGUUGCAAAGUUUAGAAUGAGUCUUCCUCUAGCCAUGUUGAAGUUGCAAAAGCUCUUCUUACCAUUCAGAACAAAUCCACCUUGGUCAUCACGAAUGUGGUUCACCUUACCACACCAAUCUUGAAAAAAUCAAACCAAUCUCUAUCCCGCCAUGUUGAUGUUAAAAAAAUCAAAACAAAUUGGCCUUACCACGUCAGUGUUAACAAAAUGGAAAUUAAUCUCUACGUCACCACAACAUCAUAUAUGCCUCAACCAUUGCCAAACCCUUGACGAAUGAUAUAGCACAUCUUUGUGUCACUCCCAAUAUAUUCCGAUGUCUCCAAAAAUCUAGAAAUCAACUCUUUCUCUCGUCCUAACGGUGCACCUUCCUUGAGGAUUUUAAAAUAGUAGUUAAUAGUUAUAGUUAGUUGUUAGCAGUUAGUUAGUUGAUAGCUGAUACUGCUAUUAGUUAGCAGUAACUGGAUUUGUAAAAUCUGUAUAAAUACAAAAAGCUGGUUGUUCAGCAAAUCAUCUAAUAUACAAAGAAAUUCAGUCAUCAUAUUAAAUCAUGAUUUCUACUAUGGUAUCUGAGCCAUAACAAUAAAGUUUUUUUUUUACUUAUGGCAACUGAAGCUGUUUCUGGUAAUGAAAUUGAGAAUCGUCAAUCGUUUAACAACGCAGUUCAUGCAUAUGGUUCUUUCUUUGGUCCUGACACUGCUUCUUUAAGAAAGAUUCAACAAUUCCCUAAACAUGAUACAGUGAAACUUGGUGAGCGUAACUUUCUUUUGUGGAAGCAACAAGUUCUGUUGAUUCUUGAAGGAUAUGGCCUCCAUGAGUUUGUUCUUGGUACGGUUAGCAUUCCUCCACAAUCUUUACUGAUGCAGAAGGUAAACUUGCUCCCAAUCCUGACUUCUUGUUUCAUAAAAAACUAGACAAGUUAUUAGCCUCUUGGCCGUUGUCCACUAUUCGUAAUGAGAUCUUGGUUCAUCUCACUAAUGCUCGGUCUAACUUCGAUGUUUAGAAUACUGUUGUUCAUCGUUUCGCUUCAAAGUUAAACUUGACAGUUUCUACCUUGCGUCACUCGUUAUACUCUCAGAAAAAGGGUCAAUUGACUAUGAAAGAAUACUUGGCAAAGAUUAAAAGUUUGUGUGAUACACUUACAGCUACAGGUAAUGAUGUUUCUAAACAAGAGCGAAUAAGUAUUAUUCUUGCUGGUCUGCCUAUGGAGUUUGAGUCGAUUAAGAUUGUGGCCUCUGCAAUGAAGGUUCCUCUUGAUCUUCUUGCAGAAAUGCUCACUGAUUGUGAAGCUCGACAACAAGAGCUUCUUUCGAAUGUGUCUUUUCAGGCUAAUUUUGUUCAACAGCGUGGAAAUACUGAUGACACCAUCAGUAAAAGUGAUAGGGGUGCUCGAACUUCUUACAGAGGAAAUGGAAGGUUUUCUUGAGGCAGAGGUCGAGGAAGGAAGUUCAGUCAUACUAAAACCCAAUGUCAAUUAUGUGGGCGAGUUGGUCAUACUGUCCAGAAGUGUUAUUAUCAUUUUGAUGAAAAUUUUGAAGGUGUGUCUCACCAGCCUAUGCAGGCUCAUUGUCAUUAGUUUCAGGAACCUUCAAAAUCUUCUUGUGCAGGACCUCAAUGCUGUUCUCAUAUGAAUACUUAUAUUGGUGCUGCGGCUACUUCCAACCAAAGAUCAUGUUUUCCGAAUUCUUCAACCGUGUGGUAUCCCGAUUUAGGAGCAUCCAACCAUGUUACUAAUGAUUUGGAUAAUUUGCAGGGUGCAACACCAUAUACAGGUAACCACAAGCUUUACAUGGGGAAUGGAGUGUCAGUGCCUGUAGCUCAUAUUGGCUCAGGUCUUCUUCCAACUGCUAGUAGAGUGUUUCGGAUGGAAAAUAUCCUAUAUAUUUCUCGCAUUUGUAAAAAUCUACUGUCUGUAGCUCAAUUUGCAAAAGAUAAUCAAGUUUAUUUUGAAUUUCAUCCUGUGCAUUAUUUUGUGAAGGAUGUCAAGACAGGGAGCAUUUUAUUGGUGGUCACAUGCAUAAUGGCCUGUACAAGUUUGAUCUGUUUGCCUUCCAAAUGUUCAACAUUGUUGGUUCCUCUCCUGCCACUGCUCAUGUUACUAGUUUGGCACCUCCUGUUUCCAGUAAUCGUGUUUUUGAUUUGUGGCAUCAAAGACUUGGCCACCCUUGUAAUAAAACUGUUGCUACAGUACUUCAAAAAUGUAAUAUCGUUGACAAGAAUUCUCAGCUAAACUCAGUAUGUUCUGCGUGUCAGCUUGGAAAAAUUCAUAAGCUCUAUUUUUCCCCUCUUCCACUGUGUACUCAACUCUUUUCGAGCUCAUUGUAGCUGAUCUUUGGGGACCAGCUUCUGUAACCUCUGAAGGACACUCUUACUAUAUUUCAUUUGUUAAUGCUUACUCUAGAUUUACUUGGGUUUAUUUUCUUAAACAUAAGUCUGAGGCUCUUGCAAAAUUUUUACAUCUUAAACAGUUUGUUGAAGUUCAAUUUGGCUAUCAGGUGAAAGUGCUUCAAAGUGAUUCGAGGAGAGAGUUUUGGCCUUUUCCUCAAGCCUUGUCUCAAUUAGGAGUCCAUCAUCGCCUUUCUUGCCCGCAUACCUUAGAGCAGAAUGGCUUGGUCGAGAGAAAACAUAGACAUAUAGUGGAUGUUGGCCUGACAUUGUUGGCUCAAGCAAAUGUUCCUAUACAUCUAUGGUCUCAUGCCUUUAUCACUGCAGUUCACCUCAUUAACAGGCUCCCAACACUUGUUCUUCAUGGAAAGUCUCCAUAUGAGAUGUUGUACAAAUCUGUGCUUGCUCCAUAUGAGAUGUUGUACAAAUCUGUGCUUGCUUACAUGUACUUAAAAGUUUUUGGUUGUCAGUGUUAUCCUUAUCUUAGUCUAUUCAACUCUCAUAAGUUGCAGUUUCGAUCUAAGCCAUGUGUUUUUCUUGGCUAUAGUCCCAUCACAAGGGUUACAAGUGCCUUGAUGAUAGUGGAAAGCUGUUUAUAUCUCGACAUGUGGUUUUUGAUGAGUCAUGCUUUCCUUUUGAGAAGACUGUCAGCUCAGCUAGUACUUCGGAUCUCCGUGGAGUUCAAUCUCAGUUCUUGCGUCAACAGUCUCAUGUUUCCGUAGUAAUGCCUGUAGAUCGACCUUUGAAUCUGGUUAAUUCUGCUCAGCUUGGAUCUGGUAAUUCUCCUAGUUUACAGUUUGGGUCUAUUGGUCUGUCUGUUUCACUUGCUAUAGAUAGCAGUAGUCGAUCUGCACCUUCUUUUUCAUCACUUUCCCCUCAAGUUGAAGCAGGUUCUGGUUUUCGUUAUAGUACUCCAGUUGUUAAGGAAAUGUCUGCUCCUUCUGUCAAUGUGCAUCCGAUGUAAACCAGGGCCAAAAAUGGUAUUAUCAAACCUCAAAUUUUUACAACUGAGCUGCAUGUUCCUGAACCAGGAACAAUCGAUAAAGCCUUCUCUUCUAAGGAAUGGACUCGAGAUGCUCAACAAGAGUAUGAUGCGUUGAUGAAGAACAACACCUGGGAUUUGGUUCCACUACCUGCCAAUAGGAGAGCUAUGGGGUGCAAGUGGAUAUUCAAACUUAAGCAUCACUCGGAUGGGUCUAUUGCUCGAUAUAAGGGUCGUUUGGUGGUAAAAGGUUAUCUCCAGGAAACUGGAAUUGACUUUCAUGAAACUUUUAGCCCAGUUGUAAAACCAGCCAUAAUUCGUGUUGUUCUAGCUUUGGCAGUGAAGUUUGGCUGGUAGUUAAGGCAAAUUGACGUCAAUAAUGCCUUCCUUAAUGGCAACUUAACUGAAGAGAUCUACAUGGUUCAACCUCCUAGUUUUGAGCAGCAACAUGGUAGUCAGAACUUGGUAUGCAGAUUAAAGAAGGUGUUGUAUGGCCUUAAACAGGCACCACGAGCCUGGUUUUUCAAACUUAGAGACUUCCUACUUUCUUCUCAAUUUAUGUUAGCUAAGUCAGAUGGCUCGUUAUUUGUCAAGAGAACUAGAGGUGAAUUGCUGUAUGUAUUGGUCUAUGUUGAUGACAUAAUUGUCACUGGUAGUCAUCAAAGUAGCAUUGAUGAGUUUGUCCUUGCUUUAGAUACAAAGUUUUCUUUGAAGGAUUUAGGGUCACUUAGUUAUUUCCUGGGUAUUGAAGUCGAGUCUACUACAAAUGGGUUGUUCUUGAGUCAACUAAAAUAUGUUCUUGACCUUUUGAGGAGGGCUCGAAUGGAUUGUGCAAAGGGUUCUCCUACACCCAUGACUACUUCAACACGUUUAUCUCAACAUAAAGGCAGUGCUAUUGAUAAUGAGUCUGAUUACAGGAGCAUUGUAGGUGCACUUCAGUAUGUUUUUAUCACUCGGCCUGAUAUUACAUUUGCUGUAAAUAAAGUUUGUCAAUUCAUGCAUCAGCCUCUUGGUCAGCAUUUCAAAGCUGUAAAACGAAUUCUUUGAUAUCUUCAAAACACUAUAGAGUAUAGUCUUCAUUUUACUACUGCUGUCAACUUAGACCUAGUCGGGUUUUUUGAUGCGAACCGGGGGAUGGAUGUCGACGAUAGGCGGUCUACUUCUGGGUUCUGUGUAUUUUUUGGUGGUAAUCCUGUGGCCUGGGGGUCCAAGAAACAACAGGUCGUCUCCAGGUCCACUGUAGAGGCUGAGUAUCGCGGACUUGCUCAUGCAGUUACUAAGGUCGUGUGGCUCGAGUCUCUGUUGUCUGAGUUGCAUGUUGUUCCUUCCAAGAAAGCUACAGUGUGGUGCAAUAGUUCUGGGGCUGUUGCUGUGUCAGCCAAUCCAAAGUUGCAUUCGAAGUUCAAGAACGUGGAGUUGGAUCUGUUUUUUGUUAGGGAAAAGGUUGCUGCUGGAUAGUUGAUUGUGGGGCAUGUUCCAGCUCAGAACCAAGUAGCAGAUAUCUUCACAAAACCCUUGUCUGCUCCUAUGUUUACAAAGUUUCGGUCGAGUCUCAAAGUUGUUUCCAAACGAGAACCAGCAGCAGAGGUCAAGUAGCUGGAGGCAUAUUAAAGAUUUUAAAAUAGUAGUUAACAGUUAUAGUUAGUUGUUAGCAGUUAGUUAGUUGAUAACUGGUACUACUGUUAGUUAGCAGGUACUGGACUUGUAAAAUCUGUAUAAAUACAGAAAGCUGGUUGUUCAGCAAAUCAUCUAAUAUACUAAGAAAUUCAAUCAUCAUAUUGAAUCAUGAUUUCUAUUAACCUUCGACUUUAAUGAUUGAUGGAGCUAAUUUUUCGUGGUCUUUAAAAUACAUGGUUGGUGGGCACCUCAUUUUUUGCUUUCGGAUGGCUUCGAAAUCUUCAACGGAUUUAGACUGUCAUAGCCGAUGCCUCUUUACUAACCGCAAAUCUACAACAUAACUAUGAAAAAAAAAAAACAAGAUGCAAAUCUCUUUCAUGAUUAGAAAAAAUGCGAAAAAAAUGAGGAGAGUCGAAUUGCGUGGCGUAGUACCAAAUUUCCCACAUAGAGUUGACAAGUUGGCAUCAGCAGACCAACUAGCAGGAAUAGGGGUAUAACACAAAGGUGGCCGUUGGAUUUGGUGCUAACUCUAAUCUCUAAUUUCGCAAAAUAGAGUUGUAGAGGAGUUAGGCCAGUUUGAUUUAAUACAAAGAAAGUCGACUGUUUGUUGAAUUGUAUUUGCUUAAUUUGCGGUUAGUAAUAGAGAUAUCUUUUCAUUAGCCGCAUUUAAUUUGAACAACCCUAUUUAAAAUUUUUUAAUAAACAAAUAUUGUCGACACCAUUUUUUUUGACAAAAACGGAGUCGACUUUGAUUUUAAAGAUGAAAACGAAAAUGGGAGUCGCCACCAAUCCUUUUUGAUGAGGUGUGAUUGGAUCACCUCGAAAAGUGGUUGUUUUUAAUAAAUGAUUUCAUUUUAUUAAAGCAACGAUUUUGGUCCACAAAAUUCAAAAAAAGAGGUUCAGGAGUCGGUUACGUACAAUGAAUGAUUAGCACCUUCGUAACACCCAAAAAUUGGUACCUAGUUGAUUAAUUAGUGUCUUAGUGUCAAAGAUUAAAAACUUUAAAGAGAUUUAAAAUACGAUCCUUUAUUGAAAUGUUGAAAAUUUUCGGAAAAGGGCAUAUUUCACGUUAAUCGAGAAAGAGAAUUAUAUCUAGUAAGUUAGGACACAAUGUCUUUGAAUUCCCGAUGCGCGAAUGAAUGCCGAAAAUUUACUUAUUUAAAAGAUAUUUAGCUAUCUCGAAUUUAAAAAAGGGAUCAUGCCCAGUAAGUUAGGACACGAUCUUUUCUUAAUUCCCGAGAUCAUUUAAAACUUGAGUUUGAAAAGAUUCGUGUAUUUGGAUUUAUUGUGAAAAUCGAAACCCAGUAAGUUAGGGUACGACCUUCUUGAAUCUAAACACGAGAUUUUGCUUAUUUGAAAGUCGAAACUUAUGCAUCGAGAUAAAUUAAUUUAACUCGAAAUAGUAGAAAUGAAACACGAGUUUAUAUGCGUACAAAGCAAUAUUGAAUGCGAUAGUGUAAAAAUAAUACAAAUAAAAAUGAAGGAAUAAAAAGGGACAAAUUAAUAACAUGCAAAAUAACAAGUAUAAGUAAAUAAAAUUAAAACAUUCUUUUAAGAUAAUAAUAAAGACAUAAAUAAAUAAAUAAAAGAGAUGAACAAAAUUAUAAAAAAAUAUAAAGUAGAUAUAUAUAUGUGUAUUAAAAUUAUGAAGUAUAAAAAAUAUAUGUGGAUAUAUAUGUAUGUGAAUUAUAAAAUAUACGAAAAAUAUGUAUGUAUAUAUGAAUUAUGAAAUAUAAAAACUAUAUAUGUAAAAGAGGGGUAUAUUUUAAAAUAUAAAGAAUAUGUAUAAAUAUGUGUAUAUAUUUAUGAAAAUAAAAGAGGAUAUAUGUAAGUAUGUAUAUAUAUAAAUUUAAAAUAUGCAUAUAAAUACAUACAUGUAUAUAAAUUAUAAUAUAUAUAUAUAUAAAUGUAAGCGUGUACAUGUAUGUAAAUAUUAAAUAUGUAUAUAUGUAUAUAUAUAGCAAAAUUUGAAGUAAAAAAUAAAAAUAAUAUAAUAUAAUAUAAUAUAAGCAAUUAUAUAAUAAUAAUAUAAUAAGAUACAUAUAUUUAAAAUUUACAUAGCAAGUAUAAAUAUAAAUAUGAUGAUAAUAACAAUAAUAAUAAUAAUAAUAAUAAUAACAAUCACAGGACUAAAUUAAAAAUAAAACAAAAUCUCAGGGGAUAAAUCAGAAAUAAAAUAAGGAAAAGGACCGAAUUACACUACGCGAAUGAAACAGAGGGACUGAAGUAGUAAAUAUCCUGUACUCCAAAACGCAUCACUUUGUGUAGGACUAAAAUGAAACAGGAUUAAAGUUGUAAGGCAAAAUUAAAAGAUAAAAAAACUCGAUUGCAAACAAAUAAAAUUUGGAAGGACUAAAAGGGUAAAUAACCCAAAAGUCAAAAAGCCUGGAUCCCCUGGCGGGUCGGGUCGCGCGCGGGUCGGGGAAGCCAAAACGGCGUCGUUUUAGCGCCUGGAGCACUUGCCCAAAAUGUCGCCGUAUCAAUAGGCUCUUUAUUUAAGCCAAAAUUUUUUCCAAAAAAUCUCAUUUCUCUCCUCUUUUAAAAAAAACACCUGAAAAACGCUCCACUCUCUUCAAAAAUUAUCCCUAUCGGCCCAAGGUUCCGUCCGCGGCGUUGAAGGUAAAAUUUCUUUUAGUUAUUUAUCUAUUUAUUUUGAAAUAAAAAUAAAAUAAAAUAAUGAAUAAAUAAACAAAUCGAAUAAAGGACCUUGAUUUUUUUUUGAAUCUGUUUCGAUCUCUUUGUUUUUUUAUUUAGAAUCGGUGUCCCCCUUACAUUUUUACAACAUAUCCGGCUUUAUAGCCGAAACAAAGAAGAAAAAAAAGAUUAAAGAAAAAUCCUCCUUGCUUCUGUUGUUUACUGUUGUUGCUUUCAUUUUUGCAGGUGACCGGCGGCAAAACCGUGUCAAACCUUGGGGUGUGCGUCCAUUCACGUGGAGGAGGCAGAGGUAAUGCGACCGAAGGCCCUAGGUGCGGCGCCUAGGGUUUUUUGGCUGAAAAUUUUUCUUAGUUUUGGGCUAGGGUUAUGUUUGGGCCAUGUUGGGCCAUUGGGCUGGUAGGUUAGGGGGUUUGGGUUUCUGUUUUGGAUAAUGGGCUAGUGGGCUUAUUUGUUUUAUUUUCUCUGGUGGGCAGAGCAAAUUUGGGCUUCUACAAAUACGAGAAGAAAACAAGACUGGCGUGAUGGGGCUUGUAAUUCUUGUCCCAUGGAGUUUCUUCCUCAUAGCUUUAACAAAGUUCCUUUAUCAUUACCUGUGGGUACCUCUUCGUAUACAGCAUAUGAUGAAUUCACAGGGAAUCAAAGGACCUCCUUACAGAUUCAUCCAUGGCAACAACAAAGAAGUUACCAAAAUGAAAAAGGAAGCAUUAAGCAAAGCUGUGGGCUUGACAGAUGAUUUAUUUCCCAGAUUACAACCGCAUAUUUAUUCCUGGAUCAAUACAUAUGGUGAAGUGGAUGCUUGUUUUUUCACCAUGAUUUAUUAUAACUUCUGCUUAUCUAGCUUUAAGAAAAAGAUGGACACUUUUUGUUUUUUGUUGUGUGAUUAGGGAAGAAUUUUGUUUAUUGGAAUGGCGUUCGAGCUGAAGUGGUGAUUUCAGAACCUGAAUUGAUCAAAGAGGUUAUGAAAAAUAGUGAGACAAUUUUUCAGAAAAGGAAGCUUACGGAUGUUGGUGCGAAGCUACUGGGAAAUGGGCUUGCGUUCAUUGAGGGAGAAAAAUGGGCAAAGCAUCGAAAGCUGGCCAAUCAUGCUUUUCAUGGGGAAAGCCUAGAGGUAAAUCCUCCAAAUCUAUAAAUUAGUUGUAAUUAAUUUAUAAGAAUUAUACAUACACAGCAUGUGAAGUUUACUCCUUCUAACAUUUAUAUAUUUUGUCAAUUUAGUCUUUGUUCUUUUAUUUGAAUUUAAUCAUUAUUUUUUCAAAAAAGAGUCCACCUAUGCUUCAUGCUAAUAUAACACUAUUUAUUUUAUAUGUCACGCCAACAAAUAAUUUAAAAUUUUUAAAAUAUUCAAAAUUCAAAAUAAUAUAAAAUUUUCAUAAAUAUUCAAAAAGAUUAGAAUGGAGUACCUCUAAAUAGUCAAUAGGGCUGCAAUAUAUAAAAUUUUAAUCAAUAUUUUCAUUAGAAAUAACAAUUCAACUCUUUUUGAAAUCAAUAUUUUCAUCAGAAGCAAUAAUUCAACUUUUUUGAAAGCUUGAGCUUAAAAUUCGAUUUUUUAUAAAAAAAUUGAAAAUCAAAUUUAACUCAAAGAAGAAUAAAGACUAAGUUGAGAAAUAAAUGUAAAUGUUGAUAAUUAAAUUUGAAAUUAUGCUGUAAUAUAUGGGUGAAGUUUUGUAUUGUUGACUAAAUCUUAUGUUGCUACUACUUAAAUAUUGGAGGGUUGUUUGGGCAGAACAUGACCCCAGCAAUAAUUGCUAGUGUUGAAACCAUGCUAGAAAAGUGGAAAGGCCUAGAAGUCAAAGAGAUUGAAGUGUAUAAUGAAUUUAGAUUCUUGACUUCGGAAGUGAUUUCCAGAAUAGCUUUUGGUAGCAAUUACUUGGAAGGGGAGAAGAUUUUUGCCAUGUUGAACAAGUUGAAAAUACUUGUGAGUCAAAAUAUUCACAAGACUGCGAUUCCUUUCAUCAAGUAUGUUUCCCCUAACCUUAGUUAAUCCCUAUGGAUUUAAUUUUUUAUAUAGAGAGCUGACCUUUGUUUGCUUAUACAGCAAGUUAUGGAAACCUGCUGAUAUGCUAGAAUCUGAAAAACUCGAAAAAGGAAUACAAGAUUGUGUGAUGGAGAUGAUUAAGAAAAGAGAAGACAAUGUUGUGAGUGGAGAAGCUGAUAGCUUCGGCACUGAUUUUCUGGGAUUACUAGUAAAUGCUUAUCAUGAUUUGGACGAUAAAAACAGGGUUUCAUUGGAAGACUUGGUAGGUGAAUGCAAAACAAUCUACUAUGCUGGACGGGAAAAUGUUAAUUCAUUGCUUGCAUGGAUAGUCUUGCAUUUGGCAAUCCAUGGAGAUUGGCAAGAAAAAGCGAGAAGAGAGGUGAUUGACAUAUUUGGUAACCAAAAUCCGCAUCUCGAAGGCAUUGCCAAACUCAAAAUAGUAAGCAAACUAUCUAACUGGAAAUUCAAAUUGGCAUCAACAUGAUGUAAUCUAACAUGUUUUUCUAUUUUCCAAACAGAUGACCAUGAUCAUCAAUGAAACUCUAAGAUUGUAUGGUCCUUCACAUGGCCUGCCCAGAACAGUCGCAAGAGAAGGACAAUUGGGAAAGUUUAUCUUGCCUGCUGAUAUAGAUAUUCUGUCUCUAAAUAUUGGACCUCACCGUGACCCUCACUUGUGGGGGGAUGAUGUGCAUCUUUUUAAACCGGAGAGAUUCGCCGAAGGGAUUGCCAAAGCUACCAAUUACACCGCAGCUGCAUUUUUCCCCUUUGGAUUGGGACCUCGAUCUUGUGUUGGUAUGACCCUUGCAACCAUAGAAACCAAGAUUGCUCUCUCCAUGAUUCUACAACGUUACACCAUUACCAUUUCCCCUACCUAUGUCCACUCUCCAAUAGCUAUUAUCACCAUUCAACCACAACAUGGAAUUCAAAUAAUACUUGAGCCGCUGCAUAGCUGCUAAGAACUAGGGGCUUAAUAUAGUUAGUUCGUGUAUGGAUGACAUUUAAUAUGUCUAAGGUUCUAGCA
rnacentral:lncRNA from 1 species